AUAUUUUAAUUGCACAACGGAAAUAUUGGAACCAGGUCAGGAUAGAAAUAUAGCAGCCUUAACAUUCCCUUUUCGUGUGUGCAUUUUUUUAUACAUUA
rnacentral:SRP_RNA from 3 species